CUUCCGUAGGUGAACCUGCGGAAGGAUCAUUACCUAGAGUUGUAGGCUUUGCCUGCUAUCUCUUACCCAUGUCUUUUAAGUACCUUACGUUUCCUCGGCGGGUCCGCCCGCCGAUUGGACAAUUUAAACCAUUUGCAGUUGCAAUCAGCGUCUGAAAAAACUUAAUAGUUACAACUUUCAACAACGGAUCUCUUGGUUCUGGCAUCGAUGAAGAACGCAGCGAAAUGCGAUAAGUAGUGUGAAUUGCAGAAUUCAGUGAAUCAUCGAAUCUUUGAACGCACAUUGCGCCCCUUGGUAUUCCAUGGGGCAUGCCUGUUCGAGCGUCAUUUGUACCUUCAAGCUCUGCUUGGUGUUGGGUGUUUGUCUCGCCUCUGCGUGUAGACUCGCCUCAAAACAAUUGGCAGCCGGCGUAUUGAUUUCGGAGCGCAGUACAUCUCGCGCUUUGCACUCAUAACGACGACGUCCAAAAGUACAUUUUUACACUCUUGACCUCGGAUCAGGUAGGGAUACCCGCUGAACUUAAGCAUAUCAAUAGGCCGGAGGAAGA
rnacentral:rRNA from 1 species